AAAAAAAAUAACAACAAAAAAAAACCCUAAACCUAAAAGAUUUUUUUUCCUCUGCAGCCGUUGUACCAAGCCAGCCCCCCCCCUCACCUUUUGAAAUUUUUUUUCUCUUCUCACUCAAUCGGCCAAACAGCCCCUCCCCGGUUUGAAUCAUUCUCCAAACCCCGGCCGUUCCUUUCCCUUCUCAAUAGCAGCGCCUCCCAACUCUGUUCCCAAUUCCCAGCCAACGAAAGCCAAAAAAAGAAAGCCAUAGCCAGCCGGUGUCCCUCAGCCUUUGAAGAAAAAGAAAGCCAUAGCCGAUUCCCCAUCAUCAGAUUUUUUUUUUCUUCUUCUCAGCCACUUCACAGCCCCCCUCCCCCACCGGACUUUUGAUUUUUUUUUCCCCUUGGUUCUGAUUUUUUCAGACCACGCAGCCAUCCCAGCUCUUCUUCUCCUCCCCACUUCUCCCAACGCCAGCUCUCCUCUCACCGUUCACCAGAGAUUUCUUCCUUCACAGGCCCGGCGCCUCCUGGCUUCUCUCUCUCGGCCACGAUCUCCACCGCCUCCCGCCGCCCGUCAUUUGGGCGAACCAGCGGCGUCUCCGCAGUAGCGCCGUCCAAAGAUCCAGCAGACCCAGCUCCACAGAACCGGCUUCCACCGAGCCACACACAGCAGGCGAUCCCCC
rnacentral:lncRNA from 1 species